AUAUGAAUCUCUCUGGGCUUCUCUGAUUAAGUAGGUCUGGGGUAGAAUCUGAUAUUCUGCAUUUCCAGCAAGUUCUCUGGUGAUGCUGAU
rnacentral:pre_miRNA from 10 species